rnacentral:rRNA from 1 species
UGGCGGCGUGCUUAACACAUGCAAGUCGAACGGUGAUGGCCAGCUUGCUGGUCUGAUCAGUGGCGAACGGGUGAGUAACACGUGAGCAACCUACCCUUCACUCUGGGAUAAGCCCUGGAAACGGGGUCUAAUACCGGAUAUGAGACGUACAGGCAUCUGUAGCGUCUGGAAAGAUUUAUCGGUGGGGGAUGGGCUCGCGGCCUAUCAGCUUGUUGGUGGGGUAGUGGCCUACCAAGGCGACGACGGGUAGCCGGCCUGAGAGGGCGACCGGCCACACUGGGACUGAGACACGGCCCAGACUCCUACGGGAGGCAGCAGUGGGGAAUAUUGCACAAUGGGCGCAAGCCUGAUGCAGCGACGCCGCGUGAGGGAUGACGGCCUUCGGGUUGUAAACCUCUUUCAGCAGGGAAGAAGCGCAAGUGACGGUACCUGCAGAAGAAGCGCCGGCUAACUACGUGCCAGCAGCCGCGGUAAUACGUAGGGCGCAAGCGUUGUCCGGAAUUAUUGGGCGUAAAGAGCUCGUAGGCGGUUUGUCGCGUCUGCUGUGAAAACCUAAGGCUCAACCUUGGGCUUGCAGUGGGUACGGGCAGACUAGAGUGCGGUAGGGGUGACUGGAAUUCCUGGUGUAGCGGUGGAAUGCGCAGAUAUCAGGAGGAACACCGAUGGCGAAGGCAGGUCACUGGGCCGCAACUGACGCUGAGGAGCGAAAGCAUGGGGAGCGAACAGGAUUAGAUACCCUGGUAGUCCAUGCCGUAAACGUUGGGCACUAGGUGUGGGGCUCAUUCCACGAGUUCCGUGCCGCAGCAAACGCAUUAAGUGCCCCGCCUGGGGAGUACGGCCGCAAGGCUAAAACUCAAAGAAAUUGACGGGGGCCCGCACAAGCGGCGGAGCAUGCGGAUUAAUUCGAUGCAACGCGAAGAACCUUACCAAGGCUUGACAUACACCGGAAACUUCCAGAGAUGGUUGCCCCGCAAAGGUCGGUGUACAGGUGG